CUAUCCCUUAACCGUGGAUGUGCUUGCACUGUAACUAAAAAAGGAAGUGCUUCCAUGUUUUAGCGAUGG
rnacentral:pre_miRNA from 12 species